AAUAGAACCAUCGAAGUCAACCAUGUAGACAAAUGAGUAAAUAUCUUUUGUCUGCAGAAGGCAGCCAUCCAGCAUUAACACGGAGGUCUCUGUCUGACUUGGAUAGCUGGCUAAAACUUUUGAAUUGCCACUCUAAAUAUA